AGGCGAACGGCUGAGUAACACGUGGGCAACCUGCCCUUUGCACUGGGAUAGCCUCGGGAAACCGAGGUUAAUACCGGAUACUCCAUAUUUGUCGCAUGGCGGAAUAUGGGGAAAAGCUCCGGCGGCAAAGGAUGGGCCCGCGGCCUGUUAGCUAGUUGGUGGGGGUAGUGGCCUACCAAGGCAAUGAUGGGUAGCCGGGUUGAGAGACCGACCGGCCAGAUUGGGACUGAGACACGGCCCAGACUCCUACGGGAGGCAGCAGCA
rnacentral:rRNA from 1 species